AUAGUAGAAGAAAACAUAAGAGAAUAUCUUUGUGACCUAGUGAUAAAGGCAUAUUUUUUAAAGCCUCUAAAGGACAAAUUACAAAAAUAACAUUGAUUAGCUUAUUUAUAAAAAAUUUAAAAGUUUAUGCUCAACAGCAAAAAUAAAGAACUAAAAUGAAUACUCAGUUAAUAGAACACAAUAAUUACUUAUGAUGUCUCCUAUGAUAAGGGAUUACUAUCUAGGCUAUAAAGAAGUCCUGAACAUUUAGACAAAAAAGAUUCAAUCCCAGUUGAAAAGAGAGGCAAAGGUUGCAGUCAGACGGUUUAGAGAGGAGAACACUCAGAGCGUUAGCAAGCACCGUUCGAAGCCUUCCAACUCAUUAGCAAUAAGAGAAAUGUAGAUUCUAACGACGUGAGUUAGGCCAAAAGUAGACAUUGGAAUUGCAUGAGGCCAAGUGUUGGCAAAAAACCGAGAUUUGAGACUUCUCAUGUAUGAUUGGUAAAAUCACUGACUGAUGAGCCAGGCUAGGAAGCCUGCGUGCAGCACAACUGUGGGCGGCAGAUUUGUCCCUGGUCGGCCGCCCAGAGAACCCCCACGUUGUCCCUAAUGACACAUGCCCAAGGAUGUCUACUGCAGCCUGGUGGUGGAAGGAGCUGGAGUGCCUGUCAUUGGAAGACUGGCUAGAUGAAACACUUGCAGUUCUGGGCAUCGGGAAGAAACAGCGGUCUCCGUGUGCUGCCCGCAAUGCGGAUGGAUCUGUAAAGUACAGCGGUGAAUGACAAAAGUGAGGAAAUAAUGAAUUAUAUAGCAUAAUACCCUUUGCAUAUGUUAAAAACAUAUGCACACAAAAUAACAUUGCCUGCGUUGCAAGGACACUUAAUAGGAGUGGAAAUACUUGCCAAAGGGGCAGGAGAAAUAGAAAGAUGUAAAACUUGAGAUGGGUCUUUUACAGACUAGCAAUUACGAUGGUAGGGGUGGUGAGUGGGAAAUGAUUCCUAUCCUUAAGCAGCUCACAGGACAGUGUUGGAGACAGGCAUAUAGAUAACUGUAAUGAAAUGAGGUAGAUAAAAGUAUAGGGAGCUGUUCAGAGUAUUAACAUGUAUGACUUUUCUACCAGGCUAUGUUUUCCAUUGAGGCAAAUACUGUUUUGUGUUGUUAUUUUUGCUCUCUUGUACUCGUUUCUCUCUAUAUAAAUAUAUAAACGCAGAGAGAUCUUUGCAUCACUGGGAAAGGUUUGAAAAGUAUGUUCCUUCACCAUUGAUACUAAGGAUUUGGUUUUAUUCAGUUUACUUCAAUUAAAAUGUAUAGACGCUUUAGCCCAGGUAGGUAUUUUUUUCAUGCUGAGUAUGUGACUUCACUGCAGGUAGCUCAGUGGACCGCACUGUUGUGACGUGGUGGUGGUUGCUUCUGCUUCAGAUCAGUUAUUUCCUGCCUUAACAAUCGGUUCCAUGGCUGACACAAACAAUCCUGGCCAUGACCAGCCAUCUCAAUUUCCCAGUAGUUGGUUAUCAAAAACAUAUGAUGCAAGUAUGCAGGUGCCCCAACACUAACUGAUCACUCCUUUGGAAAAUAAAGGAUGAUAGAAAAUAUAUAUGGUUUUAGAAAAUAAAUGAAGGAGUUCCCUUGUGGUGCAGUGGGUUAAGGAUCCAGUGUUGUCACUGCAGUCGCUCAGCUCACUGCUGUGGCACAAGCUUGAACUCUGGCUCAGGAACCUCCACAUGCCAUGAGCAUGGCAAAAACCAAACCAAAACAAACAAAAGACCCACAACAAAAAAACAAAAAAUAAGAAAAGUGUAUUUCCUUUGUUAGUUGUGUCUACCUUGUGGGAAAUAUGUAUUUCUCUAUAUAAUGAUUAACCUGUCUUUAAUAUAAAUGGGAAAUUUAUAACAGUAUAAAUAUUUAUUCCCAUUCUAAGUGGGGACUUCUGACAUCAUAAUGAGUUUGUGGAGGAUUCUUGUUUUAACAGGUAGAACCUUUCAAAAUAUUCCCUAGGCAGCCCUUUCAUUUCCUAUAGAACUUGGGUCAAUAAUGAGAGAUACCAUAACUUUAUAUAUUCGAUUACUUAUUGUAUAAAAAUUUUCAAAAAUAGUAGUAAUACCUACAUUAAAAAAAAUCAGGAACUCUUCAUACUCUUUAAUUACUCUAUGGAGCUCUUGGAAUUAAAAAAAAAAAGCUUAUUGGAAAGUUACUUUAAUCUCUGUGAAGGAUAAUCCAAGAAUAUGUUGCUCCAGAGAAUGCAUACCUUUAUUUUAUUUUCAUAUUUUUUUCCCUUUUUAUGGCUGCACCUGCAGCACAUGGAAGUUUCCCAGGUAGGGGUUGAAUUGGAGCUGCAGCUGAGGCCUACACCAUAGCCAUGGCAGCACUGCAUUUGAGCCACAUCUGCAACCUAUGCUGCAGUGGCUAGAUCUAGCAAUGCUGGACACUUAACCCACUGAGCAAGGCCAGGGGUGGAACCUGCAUCUCCAUGGAGACGAUGUUGGAUUUUUAACCUGCUGAGCCAUAGUGGGAACAGCUUAUUUUCAUAUUUUAAAGCUUCCCUUAUUUCUUCUGUUCUUUUAGUUUUAUUAGUUUAGAAGGGUAUCUUCCAGUGAUUACAUUAGUCAUGAGACUGAAGGCCAAGUUUAUAUCUAGGGAGCACUUUAAUUUUACUUUCUCAUUUUUGCCUGAUAUUCGCUUACAUGAUGGCAUUUCUCUCUAACAGUGGCUGUUUCUCUACCCAAAAAUGCCUUCCUUCUGCAAUUAGAGUGCUCAUAUCUGCUGGUGUAGAAGUAUAUUGUUAAAACCAUCAGGGAAACUGGUAAUAUCCGCUACCACUAAACAUAUGCAUAGCCUCUGUCCCAGGAAUUCCACUUAGAAAAACAGACCCAACAAAAAAAUGAAUACAUAUAUGCACCAAAAGACAUGCACAAAAUAUCUCCUUAACAUGACUUAUAACAACAAAAUACUCGAAAGAACCCAAAUGUCCAUCAACCUAAGAAUAAAGAAAUGAGUACACGAGUUCCCAUCAUGGCUCAGCAGAAACGAAUCUGACUAGGAACCAUGAGGUUGCAGGUUUGAUCCCUGGCCUCGCUGAGUGGGUUAAGGAUCCAGUGUUGUCAUGAGCUGUGGGGUACGUCGUAGACACGGCUCAGAUCUGGUGCUGCUGUGGCUCUGGCAUGGGCCGGUGACUACAGCUCCAAUUAGACCCCUAGCCUGGGAAUCUCCAUAUGCCGCAGG
rnacentral:lncRNA from 1 species